UACGUAGGGUGCAAGCGUUAAUCGGAAUUACUGGGCGUAAAGCGUGCGCAGGCGGUUUUGUAAGUCUGUCGUGAAAUCCCCGGGCUCAACCUGGGAAUUGCGAUGGAGACUGCAAGACUAGAAUCUGGCAGAGGGGGGUAGAAUUCCACGUGUAGCAGUGAAAUGCGUAGAGAUGUGGAGGAACACCGAUGGCGAAGGCAGCCCCCUGGGCCAAUACUGACGCUCAUGCACGAAAGCGUGGGGAGCAAACAGG
rnacentral:rRNA from 1 species